GGAGGGAUGGGUGAGGGGUUGAAACCGACGCUCUCGAAAAGCGUUAUGGGCGAAAGCCCAUCGUGAGUUCGAAUCUCACUCCCUCCG
rnacentral:tRNA from 1 species